AUUGAACGCUGGCGGCAUGCCUUACACAUGCAAGUCGAACGGUAACAGGCCUUCGGAUGCUGACGAGUGGCGAACGGGUGAGUAAUACAUCGGAACGUGCCUAGUAGUGGGGGAUAACUACUCGAAAGAGUGGCUAAUACCGCAUGAGAUCUACGGAUGAAAGCAGGGGAUCGCAAGACCUUGUGCUACUAGAGCGGCCGAUGGCAGAUUGGGUAGUUGGUGGGAUAAAAGCUUACCAAGCCGACGAUCUGUAGCUGGUCUGAGAGGACGAUCAGCCACACUGGGACUGAGACACGGCCCAGACUCCUACGGGAGGCAGCAGUGGGGAAUUUUGGACAAUGGGCGCAAGCCUGAUCCAGCAAUGCCGCGUGCAGGAUGAAGGCCUUCGGGUUGUAAACUGCUUUUGUACGGAACGAAAAGCCCCGGGUUAAUACCCUGGGGUCAUGACGGUACCGUAAGAAUAAGCACCGGCUAACUACGUGCCAGCCGCCGCCGUAA
rnacentral:rRNA from 1 species